UACAGAGGAUGCAAGCGUUAUUCGGAAUUACUGGGCGUAAAGCGCGUCUAGGCGGGUAAACAAGUCAGUUGUGAAAGCCCUUGGCUCAACCAAGGAUGUGCAAUUGAUACUGUUUGUCUUGAGUGGUGGAGAGAGGAACGGAAUUCCGAGUGUAGCAGUGAAAUGCGUAGAUAUUCGGAGGAACACCAGAGGCGAAAGCGGUUCCUUGGCCACUAACUGACGCUGAAGCGCGAAAGCGUGGGUAGCAAACAGG
rnacentral:rRNA from 1 species